rnacentral:miRNA from 1 species
GCAAAUCAGCAGCAGACCCUCCCUCCCAGACCCUCUCACCUCCUGGACAGCUCACUAAGAAUGCAGCUUCACAAUGAAUGUAAAAUGGAUGCUGUCCAGGAGGUGGGAGGGUCUGGGAGGGAGGGUCUGCUGCUGAUUGG